UGGUUGCUAUUUUGCCUUGUGUCGGUGCAUGUGGUUGCCUGCAAGAGACCUCACCUGCUUUCGUGAAUGGCUUUAGAUGAACGCCAAGAUACUCGCCACUUUUUCGAAAAGACAACAGAGUGACUGAAAGAAAGCUGACUGCUUGUGCACGUAGGACAUUCCCGUGGGUCGUUGUUCGGACAAAAGGGCCACGGACCAAGCUCCGCUACCCAGCAGACGAAGUCAUCUGUGGAGAAGGCAGGAACCUUUCUGUCGUGCCGGAGGAAGCAGCGGGCGUAUUUGUUACAAACUGUGCUAUGGAAAGGCCACGUACGUGAGGACUCCUGAAGAGCAGCGCGCAUGCGAGGAGCGGCGAAUUACUCUUCUCUCUGGUCCAGUCACAGCAGAUGCCCGAAAUGGCCGCGCAAGCCAAGUCGCAGGGCCAACGUCUGCCCAAGAAUCCCGGCCUUUAGACGUCCAUGGGGGCGUUGCCCAGAGGACCCGGGUCGGAGAGCGCCCCUUGUCAGCGCCUUAACAUCUCGACCAAGUUCUGGACUCGCUGACUGGAGUCGAGCAUCGCCUCUGGAGAUAUAUUGUCCAGCGUGUCCAGGUCGACUGCGGUGUGCAAGACGGUUUACACGGCUGUAUCCUGCAGAUGGCGGUCUACCUCGUGUCACUAUGGCGACGAUGUUAUAAGGUCCACCUGGCCCCUGUAGCAGUGACGUGAAAUGUAUCCGCUGCCGCGCGCUCAUGUGAGGCCACGGGUGCCAGUUGCCAGCAACGGAGGCGGCACAUUCCUCCAGUCUUGCCGGUGGUACGAACACUCCGCGAUGUCUCCCCGAAGCCGGAUGCUCCAAUUUGGAUGUCACUUGCAGCGUGCUCACCCGAAGUGGUGAUGAUGGCGAGGAUUUCACCCCCACGGAAUUUGAAUGACAACCCCUCGACCGGGAGCAACCUGGUGUGAGACCACCGAACAGCCGCUGACUCAGGCUGGAGAGGUUCAGCUCGAACGUCAGGUCUCGAACCUGUCUCUGAGUGGCCACAUUUAUCGUCACGACGACGAUGCAAUUGGAACCAUUGCUGAAAAUUCCACGAAACUCGUGGUUACGCAAACACAAAAAUAAAAAGGCUCAACACAGCGCUGGCCAUAGGGCCAGAAGAAGACGACGAUGGCGGCGUGUAACGCCGAUGACGUGCAAGACGACUCGUUCUUCGUGUACCACUAGUCGAACUAAUAAGUGUUUGCGGGGUAGUUCCUGGGUAGCCUAAGGAGAGUUUUGGGGCGGGUAAUCAAAAUAGAGCAUUGAUAACACGGGGGCGUACCGAGUUAACGAGUUGGUAAUGGCUGAGGAAACACAAGGAGGGUAAUGUUGGUGGAUGGCAUGAAUAGCCCAAAAAAUGGAAAACCAUGCACCGCGGCAAAAUGUGGAGAUGUUCACAGCAGCGUAUUCUAUUUGCGUACUGUGUUUUCCACCAAGCCACGAAGGUGGUUCGGUACCCUUUUAACCCUGUAAUGCACAACGCACAUUCUAUAUAGCACGCCGUUUGUUAAGUCGUAAUUUAAAUGUGCGCGUGCGGAACACAAGUGGCGAUAUUAAUUCAUCAGCCUAUUUUUACGUCCACAACAUGACUUAGUCCUCUCCCAACGAUCUCCAAUUACCGCUAUCCUGUGCCAACUAUUUCCAACUUGCACCUGCGAAUUUUCUCAUCAUGCCACCUCGACUGCACUUCCCUUUCUUGGCACCCAUUUGGUAACUCUAACGGUCUACUGGUUAUCCAUCCUACGCAUUACAUAGCCUGCCCAGCUCUAUUUUUUCUAAUUAUGUCGAUUAGAACAUCGGCUAUUCCUGUUUACCCUGCGAUCUAAAGUGCUCUUUUCCUGUCUCGUUACGGUACGCCUAACAUUCUUCGUCCCAUUGCUCUUCUCGCGGUUUUGUUCUCGAGCUUCUUUGCGAGUCUCCAAGUCUCUGCCCCUUAUGUCAGCACCGAUAAAAUGCACUGAUUGUAGACCUUUUUCUGCGAUAGUGUUAAGCUCCCAGUCAGGACCUGGCAAUGCCUGCCGUAUGCAUUCUAACCUAUUUUUACUGUUCUGUCAAUUUCCUUCUCUUGGUCAGUGUCCUAUAUGACUUUUGACCUAGUUAAACGGGCUCCUUCACGGACUACAGUAUCAGUGGCGAUCCUGAAAGUUUAUUCCAUUGCCAGACUAUUGAUCAGGAUCUUCGUGUUCUGCAUAAUCUUCAACCUCACUCUUAUACAUUCCUUGUUAAGGUCCUCAAUCCUUUGUCGUAAUUCCGCCCCAGUACUGCUGCACAGCUCAUCUGCAAGCGGAACGUUGCUGAGAUGUUAGCCGUUUAUCCUCACUCCUAAGCCUUUUCAUUUUAAUAUCUUCAGUGCUCCUCCCAAGCAUGCAGUGAAUAGCAUUGGAGAGAUGGUGUCUCCUUGCCUGACCACUUUCUUUAUAGGUACGUUUCUACUUGUGGAGAACAAAGGUAGCUGUGGAAUCUUUUUAAAUAUUUCCGAAGAUACUGACGCGUGCCUCCUGUACUUGACCACUUGAUGCGUCUAUGACUGCUGGUAUCUCUACUGAAUCGAAAGCAUUUUAGAGGGGCUUAUUGUACUCUGCACAUUCCUCCAUUACGUUAUUGAUGACAAUGGGGUGAUGUAUUGCAGAACAACACUUCCUGUAGCAAGCCUGUUUUCUUGGUUCACUGAAGUUUGGCCCUUAUUGGAAAUUAUCUUCGUGAAUUGGUUGGAGUCAAUUGCAGUUGGGAUUAGCAAUUAGCUAAGCAAUCUAAUUACAAACUACGGUGCUAGCUAUCUCUACUCAUACAAUCUAUUACUUUCAGUACAAACAUGCCCUCCAUGGCGACAAAUGAAGGAAAUUAUAGGAAUUUUUUUGAUGUAGAAUUGUUUGUGCAUUACAGGGUUAAAUGCUCCUCAAUACUAUUGGUGUUAGUGUUGCAUGUUUUCAACAGCAAACUAUGCAAAGUAAGUAUGCGAGAACUCCAGGAGCCAGCGGCCUCGUUAGCGGACAACGAAGCCUGAACUGACAAGUCGCUUCUACUGCUUUUCACAGCGCAUCUCGACCACACGUUGAGUACGUUGAAAAAUAUCGUAAUGACUUGUGAUGCGCGAGCCUCAACUGGCGCCUGAGUAUUGAUGGGCAGCAGGGAAAGUUACCCGUGCAGUUGGCAUCUUGCGUAAGCUCAGCAACCGUCGUAUAUCAAAUCAAGUUUGUUUUUCCAUAAGGAAAUGCAGGGAGGCCUGAACAAAAACGCGAAAACUAGUUCACUUGAAGGUUCAGGCCCCCGUUUACAUGUCAGACAGCCGAGGUGACCAGGGAAAGAAAUAAUUAGUAUAAUUCAGUCGCAAUAUGAGAGAUACAAGCACAGGUAUGAGUAAUAUAAGGGGAUGCAAAAAAUGUGAAGCAUAAAACAAUGUGAGCGGGAUUAACUUGAGAGAAUUAUGCAAAAUAUAUACAAAUCUACAACGUGUCCUACAGUUGCAUAAAUGAGCGUAAAAUGUUUUAUUUACAUGUUCUAUGGCAAUCUCGAUCUCGUGCAGAUAAUUCAGAUGAACAGGGGGAGAGUCGAAGCAUCUCCGUAGAAGAUGAUUGACGAGCCAUUGAAAUGUCGCAUGUACUUUCGUGCUGUUGUAAUUGUAUCGCGUACUUUUCUGAAGAGCUCCACCCUCUAUUGGAACGAGGAGCUGUGCGCUUAGCCAAACGCUUCCUUAAAGCUGUUCCAAAUAUUCGGCCUCUAGAAUCGAAAUUGCGUUUUCUAGUGCGGCUACCGCCUUUCGGCUUUUACAAAAGUUUUUUACAAUUCACAAGUAACCGCUAAGAUGUUCUGAAACCUUUUAUUUCCCGGCCAGCGUUAAUUCUGACCUGCAUACUUGCGAUAUACUUCCGAUUCCUGGCAGAUAUUGUAUGGUCAAUGAGGAAUUCGAUAUUUUUUGUACAGAUUGAAAAUAUUAUCGUAUUUCAGUAAUUGCGAGUGCAUAAAGUAGCAGCUGAGAAGAUCACUCUAUAGACGGUCUCCUCUUGAUUUUAUUCGUUGUGUGUGUGUUCUGCUUUACACACCCAAAUAAAUGCUUUACCUCGUGUAAGACCGUUAACGAGCUUCGAAAUAAACGUUCCA